AGGCGGAAGAAUUUCAACAGCUACGCUGCACACUUGCUGGAAGAUUGCAGGCUCAAAGCAAAGAGCUAGUGAUUUUGCCAACUUCCUGGAUAUUCAUUCUGGUUCUGCACAAAAGAGCCCCAUUUCCUUCUGGAAUCGGGACCAGGACACAGACACAGCAGCCGACCCUGGAAACUGUCGUGAGGAUUUGAGAUUGUGAAUGAAAAGGCCAGGCCCCUAGCAUGUGCCAGAUCGAGGCCGUCAUGGCCAUCUGUGGGUCAGCUCCCGGAGCCCAGGGUCAAAAGGGCUGAUGGGCCCCCUGGCAUCACAUCUUGGGCCCCUACAAGCGGGGCGACCCUGGGUGUGCCCUCUCCGUGCUGGUGCUGCCCUGGGAGCGUGGCCCCCAGACUGGCAGCCUUGCCGUCGUGGGAGUCUGUUGGAAGUGGACUGUCGAGCCCCACCCAGCCCUCCUGAGUCAGAACCAGGGCUUUGUGUGCACCGGCCUGGAGCACACGGAGACAGAGGCCACCUGUCCCAGAGGAGGCUCCCUCUCCCACUCCUGUGCCCUGCCGUUUGUGUGAGCGGUGCCCGAGCUGCUGGCCUGAGGAAGCAUGGGAGAUGUGCAGAGCGAGCUGGGUCGCCCCAGCCGUCCCCGCAGAACUACGACGUGUGACUUCUGGAGAUGCCUGCGUCCUUGGCUCGUGGCCCCUCCCUCAAUCCUCCACAGCGGAAGUGCUGCACCUCUCCAUCUUCUUUCUUCAUCUCCCUCUGAUCGCCUCUUCUACCCCCAUCUCCUGCUUUCAAGGACCCGGUGAGCAGUGGGCCCACCUGGGGAAUCUGGCAUCCUCUCCCCAUUUCAGGGUCACCUGAUUAGCAACCUUAGUUCGACCUGCAAACUAUGUUUCCCUUCACCAUGCUACCUAACGUUUGGCAGGUUCUAGGACUAGGGUGUGGGCGUUUCUUGCUGGCGGGUGGGGAGGGCAGUGUGUCAUUCUGUCUCCCACAGCUACCACAUUUCCAUGACCUGUCCUGUCAUGGUCUCAUGAUGGCUGCUGUGUCUCCAGACAUCAUGUCUGUAUUCAAGGGAGGAAAGGGGGAGAAGGCUUCCAGGACAGCACCAGCUGGGUGUCUGCCUUUUUAUCAGGAAAAUAAAAGGUUUCCCAAAAGUGUCCUAACAGACUCUGUUUACAUCUCAAGGGUCGGGGCUAGGUGGCUUGGCUGCGUCUAGU